rnacentral:misc_RNA from 1 species
AAAGAUCGCAGGCUGCGCCAGCUCCUACGGGUGCCCACGAUCUCCUGUAGGAGCUGGCGCAGCCUGCGAUCUUU